rnacentral:rRNA from 1 species
UACGGAGGGGGCGAGCGUUAUUCGGAAUUAUUGGGCGUAAAGGGCGCGUAGGCGGCCUUGUAAGUCAAAGGUGAAAUCCCUCGGCUCAACUGAGGAACUGCCUUUGAAACUGCAAGGCUUGAGGCCGGGAGGGGGUAGCGGAAUUCCCAAUGUAGCGGUGAAAUGCGUAGAUAUCGGGAAGAACACCCGUGGCGAAGGCGGUUCUCUGGGACGGUACUGACGCUGAGACGCGAAAGCGUGGGGAGCGAACAGG